UACAGAGGUCUCAAGCGUUGUUCGGAUUCAUUGGGCGUAAAGGGUGCGUAGGUGGCGCCGUAAGUCAGGUGUGAAAUCUCGGGGCUCAACCCCGAAACUGCACUUGAUACUGCGGUGCUCGAGUACUGGAGAGGAGAUUGGAAUUUACGGUGUAGCAGUGAAAUGCGUAGAUAUCGUAAGGAAGACCAGUGGCGAAGGCGAAUCUCUGGACAGUUACUGACACUGAGGCACGAAGGCCAGGGGAUCAAACGGG
rnacentral:rRNA from 1 species